rnacentral:lncRNA from 1 species
UUUUAGUUUGUGUAUGUUUGAUCUUCUUAUUCUAUGUUUGAGUGAAAAUUCUGUUUGUGCUAUGCGCGUGUGUUGUAUUUUUACGCAACUGAUAAAGUGCUACAGCGGCACGCUAGUGCUGAAAAAAAUUAGCACGCGGCUCCACCGUGCAUAUGUUGGAAAUGCCUGAUAAUUUUUUAUAAGCCUAUGAAAAUUUAGAAUUGACC